rnacentral:misc_RNA from 1 species
UUUCCGUAGGUGAACCUGCGGAAGGAUCAUUAAAAAAUGGACUCCAUUGGUGAGUUCAUUAAUAAUCCUACCCUUUGUGAAUUUGUUUGUUUGAAUAAUUUUUUUUCCAAAAAAAAUUAUUGAAUGUCUUUCCCUGUUUUGGUGGAGCUUGUAAAGUGAAACCAGGCAGGGGAAUGGCAAACAAUAAUUAUUUUUGAAAAAGACCUUUUUUAAAAUUAAACUUUUUGUAUUCAUUUGUCUAAAAUUAUUUUUAUAAUAUAAAAACAACUUUUGACAGUGGAUCUCUUGGUUCUCGCAACGAUGAAGAACGCAGCAAAAUGCGAUAAGUAGUGUGGAUUGCAGAAUACGUGAAUCAUCGAAUCUUCGAACGCAUAUUGCACUUUUUUAGUUUACUAAAAAAGUAUGUCUGUUUGAGUAUCAGUAAAAUAUUCUCAUAAAAAAUUGUUUUUUUAUGGUUAUGAGUGUUUUACAACGAUAACAAGUUGUUUCACUUUAAAUUCUUUGUUAUCAAAAAAAUCAUUAAAAGCUAAUUUUAAAGAUUUUUUAAAAUUGGAUAAAAUUUUCCCGUAAAAAGGAAUAACCUAAACAAUUUUAAAAAAUUAAAAUUGGUUUGAUUUUUUUUGAUAAAAAGAAAAAAAAACGAAAUUAACUUGAUCUCAAAUCAGAUAAGAGUACCCGCUGAACUUAAGCAUAUCAAUAAGCGGAGGAAAAGAAACUAACUAGGAUUCCCUCAGUAACGGCGAGUGAAGCGGGAAGAGCUCAAAUUUGAAAUCUUCAGGUUUUACCUUGACGAAUUGUAGUUUAAAGAAGUGUUUUCUGUUGGAGUUUUGGUAAAAGUUCUUUGGAAAAGGACAUCAUAGAGGGUGAGAAUCCCGUAUUUGACCAUUAUCUCCAGCUUUGUGAUACACUUUCAAAGAGUCGGAUUGUUUGGGAAUGCAGUCCAAAAUGGGUGGUAAAUUUCAUCUAAAGCUAAAUACUGGCGAGAGACCGAUAGCGAACAAGUACCGUGAGGGAAAGAUGAAAAGAACUUUGAAAAGAGAGUUAAACAGUACGUGAAAUUGUCAAAAGGGAAGCGUUUGACACCAGUGUUGUUUUCUCGAAAAUCAAUUAAAAAAGGCCGGAUUUUGUGUUGUAUUGACUUUAUCAGCUUUCUGCACUUUUUUCUUGUCUUUUUUAAUGCACUUUUCGUUUAACAAGUCAACAUCAACUUCUUUUGUUGUAAAAGGGUCAUUGGAAGGUGGCUUUCUUUUCGGAGAAAGUGUUUAUAGCCUUUGGCCUCUGCAAUCGGAGAGAUUGAGGUCUGCAGCGUAGAUCCUUCGGGGUUAGAUACAUUUGUGCUAAGUUAUAGCCUUUCAUAGACAACUUGUUGACUAUGAUCAGUCAUGUAGCUUACUCGCUUAUGCUAUUUUACCUACGCUUAGGAUGUUGAA